rnacentral:rRNA from 1 species
UACAGAGGUGGCAAGCGUUGUUCGGAAUUACUGGGCGUAAAGGGCGCGUAGGCGGCCUUCUAAGUCAGACGUGAAAUCCCCCGGCUUAACCUGGGAACUGCGUCUGAUACUGGGAGGCUUGAGUAUGGGAGAGGGAUGUAGAAUUCCAGGUGUAGCGGUGAAAUGCGUAGAGAUGUGGAGGAACACCGAUGGCGAAGGCAGCCUCCUGGGCCAAUACUGACGCUCAUGCACGAAAGCGUGGGGAGCGAACAGG